rnacentral:rRNA from 1 species
AUGAACUUCAGUGUCCCUGGUGGUCUGGUUAACGGCUUUAUUCAACAUUCACAGGGCCGCUUGCAUUAUGUCAAUUUUCAGAUGGAUGAAGAUGGUGGUGUCAAUCAACUUGUAGUUUAUGUUCUUGAGAACUACCAAAGCAAAGAAUGGACAUUGAAGCAUAGCGUUGAAACUUCAUACAUACUUGGAAUGGCAGAUUACUGCAUUUAUUGGUUUGAUUGGAUUGCCGUUCAUCCGGAAUGCAACUUGAUAUUCUUCACCCUUGUGCGGGAUCUCAAACUCAUGUGCUAUAAUAUGGAUUGUCGGCAAGUCAAAGUAAUCUGCAAUCUGGAAGGUGUGGAGCCGCCAUAUCUACCAUAUGUGCCGUUGUAUGCUGAGUUAGAGGCAUUGUGCAUUUGA